rnacentral:tRNA from 5 species
GGAGACGUGGGUGAGUGGCUGAAACCAGCGGUUUGCUAAACCGCCGUACGGGGAAUUCCCGUACCGAGGGUUCGAAUCCCUCCGUCUCCGCCA